UUGCCAGCUCGCCGGCCGCAGGGCCUUCGCGGAGCGGGCGGCGCAUGCGUGCUGCCCCCCCCGCCACGUGCGGGCGGUGGCUGCUGCGUGGGGUCCGCGUGCGGCGGGACUGGCGCCGCAGGUGCCUCCGGGACGUCUGGGGCCGGGCCCCGCCGGGGGCUGAGGGGCGUCGGCGGCCGGGCCUGUCUGGCACCGGGCGGCGCCCCCAGGGCAGAGCUGGGCGCCGCGCCCGCGGGUCCGGCCCGCUGACCGCUCGCUGCAGCGCCCGUUCGCUGGCGGGGAGGACCGGGCAGCCGUGACCUUGGAGCCCCACCUUCCCCUUCCCUCAGAUGCGGCCGGCAGGUCGUGGGGGGACGAUGAGGUGAUGCAGGGAAGGCGGGCUGGGGCCCAGCGUCGCCUCCCCAGCGGGUCACUCCCAGCGGCCUGCACCUCCGUCCUUCCCCGGGACUCCCUGCCCUGCUUCCCACCCCCAGCCUUUGCCCCUCUCCGGCCCUCCUGCGCCCGGAAGGUCUUUUUCGGCCUACUCGCCCCAUCUGCCUGUCUGUCUAGUUCGCACUUGUUGCCGAGGUCCUGCGGUGCACAGACAGUCAGGUUCCAGCCGGCCGGAGACAGGGCGGAGCAGGAGGCAGCGACCACCCAGUGUCUGCGUGCAGGACUCUGAAUAGCAACGCUGCUCACUGCCCUUGGAAUGGCUCACCCCUGGCCCAGCCAGGGGUUAAGAAUCCGCCUGCCAAUGAAGGGGACACGGGUUCGAGCCCUGGUCCGGGAAGCUCGCACAUGCCGUGGAGCAACUAAGCCCGCGCACCACUACUGAAGCCCACGCGUCUAGAGCCUGCGCUCCACAGCAAGGGAAGCCAUUGCAUUGAGAAGCCUGUGCACCACAAGGAAGAGCAGCCACAGCUAGAGAAAUCCCGCGCACAGCAACGAAGGCCCAACACAGCCAAAGAUAAAUAAGUAUAAAAUAAAUAAUAACUCUAAAAGAAUUUUUAACAAAUAAAAUCAUGAACUCUC